CUCUCUCUCUCUCUUAAUCGGAGAACCACCCACUAGAAGGAUUACUUAGAGAAACAUCACCACCAUGAUAACCCUUUAUUUCUCUCCAGAAGCCAUCCCAAUGCUCUUCACCUUCAUAUCCUUUGCAAAUUCAACAACUUAAAGAUGGCUUGGUUUUACCACCUAAUCCACCACAAGUUGUAAUCAAGAAGCUAUCCAAAUUUAUGGAGGCAACUAGGAAGGUUGAAAGAUGCAUUUAUCAUCGGUCUUAAAAAUUCAGAUACCCACCAACAUCCUCGUAUCCCUUUUCCCCCUCCCAUCCCGUAUAUCCAUGGAGGUAUGAUUUCAUUAGAAAUGGAUACAUAAAUCACCAUGAAUGAGAGAAAGGAAUGUUUGAUUUUGUAGUGGUUCUAGGUUUUGAUUUCAUUAAAGUUGGCUUUGGUUUCUGGUAUAUUAGAUUUCACUUUGGUUACCUGUGCUUUUGGUUUCAAGUUGAUUUCACAUUUGAGUAAUUUCAAUCAAUUCAGAACAUUUGUAAAAGAAUCAUAUAUGGAUUUUUGGGCAUAUCAGUAUUCCAUUCUUACUUUAUGCUUGACUGCAAGGAUUUGAAGCUCGAAAUUACAAAUGCCCAAAGGAUUACACAAUUGCCCAUCCCUCGAAACCUACAUUUGGGUGUGAAUCGACAACGAUUUGAAAGAUACAAUCUUGUGUAGGGGGUUGGCUAUAAAUCGACAACGAUCCCAGAUUUAUGCAUGUUUUUUUUAUCUAAACUUGAUUUUGGUGAGAAGUUUGGGUUUUUUUUUUCUCGAGUGGGGGUAUGAUGUGAAAAUUGUGUGUUUAUUAAUUAAUUGUACAUAGAGAGUGAGGAUAAGAAACGAGACCAAAAAAGAAGAAGGUGAAGUUGGGUCUAAACCCAAUUAGGUUUUUAGUGUUCAUAAUCAUCGAGGGGUAGAGUAUUGAAGGAUAUGAUUCGCCAGAGAAGAAAAAGUUCAUCGGAAAGGGGGUGAGACGCCUAUUGAUUGAUUUUAAUCUAUUGCGUGUAUAUGUUAAAUUCACUUGUGACUUAUAGGAAACGAAUUGUGUUCUUGUGAAAUCAAAAGGGAGAUAUAAUCUUGAAAGAAUUGUUGGGGAGUUGAGAGAGAGAGAGAGAGAGAGAGAGAGAGAGUGAGAGAGAGAGAAGGUUGGGUGAGAUUUUAUUUUUUAUUUUUUUAAUUAUUUAAAUACCAAAAUAAAUAAAGAAAAUUGAAAAAAAGAAAUGGAAAGUGUUUAACCGUCUUCUCAAUUAUGAAGUACGAUGACGGACUAAGCAAGAGUAUGAAAGUCUUUUCCUUUGUAAAUCAUUUCAACAUUUGUCAUGUUGGCAUUGACAAAGAAGAAACUGUAUCCAUUUGUUAUUGCAUAUAAUUUGCUUGUAUAAUAUUACAAAAUUAAUAUGUUAAUGAUAUUUUUAGUAUAAAUGAGGUGCAUAUAUAUUGUCGAUCUGUUAUUGCAUAUAAUUUUAUAUAACUAAACACUUACAGUAAUGGAAUUUCUAGCAACAUAGGGCAUACAAUUCAAAAACAUGAAGAUAGACGAUGUCUACGUAAUGCUUCACAAACUGAUCUGCCAUCUGCAUUAAACAAACAACGUCCUCGAAAAAUUCCAAGCAAAACUAGAAGAAGGAUUGACCAAGCAGCAGGAGUACUACAACACCAUAGAAACUCGCCCACGCUUCCUGAACUUUGCAAUAUUCGGCAACGUUCUCGAGAAAGGAAAGACACGUCACAACAAGAUGCGGAUAAUCAUCGCCUCCCUCCAGGAAAAAAUCAAAGAAGCAAUUGUCGACCAAGGAAACCCAUGAAGGAAUUCACUGACGAUUAGCUACCGACCAUUCCCUAUCUUAUGUCGGUUAUGUGUGAUUAGUUAACGUCCAACUAAUGUCCUUUUUUGCUAUCGUCUAUGUAAUAGUUUUCUUAUCCUUUGUAUUAACUCCAUGUUCUAAAACAAGACGUUGAUAAACUUUUACUUUAUCGUUUGAACUUAUUAUCACAUGCAAAUACUUAAAACAAAACAAAU
rnacentral:lncRNA from 1 species